CAGGAGGAAAUUGAGGAAAUGGAAGAAGAAGAAGAUAACUAUGUUAAUGCUCCAGCCUGGACUGUGGAUAAAGUGGCAGCUCCUCCAGACCAGAGGUCUCUCUUCUUCACUCGGUCUUUUCCACCGAUAG